rnacentral:rRNA from 1 species
AACACACCAACCAUUCCCUCCUCUAUCGCACGCAACCCCAGAUGCGAUCUCCCUUGCGGCUCUCCCCCGUCCCCGCCGUCGCCGUCGCCGGUGCCCGGCCGGCUCCUUCCUUCCUCGCCGCCGCACCCAGCCACUCCUCCCACUCCCCGCCCCCUCGCCGCCGCUUUCUUCUGCGUUGGAGACUUUGCAGCCCCAUGCCCGAGUCCAAGAUGCAAACUUUAUCCCCUCCUCCGGCACGGCGCCGGCGACCCGGCGGCUCCGGCCUUCCUCCCCGCCGCACGCGUAGCCCCUCUCCUCUUCCUUGCCUCCCCGCCCCCGCUUCCGCCGAUGGCCCCUUAGCAUCACCGCGGAUCCAGCUUCCCCCCCCUCCCCCGGGCCGGCGCCGACGCUGGCGACGGCGGCUCCGGCCGUACUCUCCAGCGCACACCUAGCCGCUCCUACUCCUUCUCCUCCCCGCCACCGCUUCCGCCGAUGACGUCCCCAAGUCCGCCGCCGCAGCCUACACGCGCCGGAGAUCCACAGCUACGAGACUGGUUGGAUCUAUCACUUAAUGAUGCUGCGCCAUCUUCUCUGCUCAUACUUUCAAGGUAAAUUUGGUUGCAUCGGCAAAAAUAUAAGAGUUUGAGAUCGUGCUGCUACAUUUGAUUUGUUUGCAAUGGGGUGGUUGUGUUUGUGAAGCGAGCUGGGAUGGCUGUUACCACGGCACUGUCAUGUGGUCGCGCUCCAUGACCGGCGGCGUUGCAGACGUGCUGGUGUUCCGCUGCAGAUGCAGCGAGCGCUGCUGCAAGCAGAGCGAUGGGUGUGUAGCAGGAGGAGAACCAUGCGACAGUCGCGUCUGUACAAGUCGAAGGGAUAAUAAUGUUCACGUGUUUGUUUUACACAAAGCUCACUUGAGAACCAUGCGACUAGAAUCGGAUGGAUGGCGAACUGACUGAUUUCCUCCAUUGGAUGACGCCUAGCAGCACCGUUGGCCAAAAGCCGCAUGGAGAAAUUCCCAUUCAUAAUGAUAGAUAUGCUUCAAGAGAUUUGGCACAGUCCCCCCACUCCAACGUGAUGGACGCAUCCCCAUAUGGGCUGGGUUUAGGGGUAAUGGACAGCCCAUACAUGUAGGGCCGGUUGAGGGGUCUGUUUCGUAAAAAAUAGAGUUAAGAUUGGUUACUUGGAUCUCCUCGUUGCUUUGCAGCAUUUCAAAAAGAAGCCGGUUCUUACACUGGUUUAUUUCUUUUCCUUUUAUUUUUUCAUUUUUAUCCGGUUUCCUCCGUUUUUUUUUCAUUUUCCCCUUCUCUUUUGUUUGGUUUUCUUAUUUCUUCUCUGUUUUUUUUGCUUUUCACAGUUUCUUUCAUUGUUUUUAUCGGGUUUUCUUUUCUUGCUUACUUUCCUUCUUUUGUUCUUCGGCUUUUUGUUUCUUUCUUGGGUUUCAAUGUUUUGUUCUUGUUUUCUUUAGUUUCUUUUUUUCCUUCUCCGUUUUUU